rnacentral:lncRNA from 1 species
CAGCCCUCUUCACACACAGAUGCCGAGAUGCCUCCUGCCUGCCCUACAGUGGACUGUGACUGGCAGGAUCUGCCAGCAAGAGCCCUGGGCUAAGGUGUCAGCAGCCUCUACAACCACCGUGUCCUCUCACAUCCUCUCCUUUCUGCCAGCUUUCAACACACCGGCAACUACAGCUGAGAUCAUGGAGCCUUUGGUUGUUCCCAGUUCUGAGGAUGGUGUGACCUGAACCCUAGAGUAUGUUGUGGAGGAGGUGCAGUCCUGGAAUCGACAGCAGCAGCGGCUGGACACGUACUCUGUCCGCCAGCCCCGGCCGGCAGCGUCUGGAGGAGCUGCAGGGAGGUUGCCGGGUCCGUCCCCGCUGGCGGCAGCAGCUCUUCACUCUCCCUGAGCUGGAAGGGGAUCGGAUCCCUCCUGGGACUCUCCCCUGCCUGCCCAGGCCAGGUCCAGAUAUUAUGCAGCAGGAAUUUGCAAAACUAAGCCAUGCCCUGAACCUGGAGGGGGAAGAUGGAGACUGGGCUCAGGUCCUAGGUCUGUCUGCCAGUGGGCACCGUGCUGGUUGCAGUGGAGACUGAGGCAGGACUUAUUCCUGUCACCAUGAAAAGAAAUAAGAGGAGAGGAAAAAUAGGCACCAACUGCACACAUUAUACAUCCCAACCACUGGACCAAGAGUUGCACCCCCCACAGCUCUACAAGUGUCAUAAACACCCCACUGAGCCCCCAGGUAACCGCCUGGCCUGUACCAUGGGCUACAAACUGAACUUGUUCCCAAAUCCUCCCAUCCCACCCUCUUGAUCAAAAUAAUCACAGUCCAGCACAAUACCAGAGGAGCUGUUUUGUAGAAUGUUUUUAUUUCAGUGUAAAGUAAAAUGUCAUUU